rnacentral:rRNA from 1 species
UACGUAGGGACCGAGCGUUGUCCGGAAUCAUUGGGCGUAAAGAGCGUGUAGGCGGCUUGCUAAGUCCUGCGUGAAAUCUCGGGGCUCAACCCCGGACUUGCAGUGGGUACGGGCAGACUAGAGUGUGGUAGGGGGAGACUGGAAUUCCUGGUGUAGCGGUGAAAUGCGCAGAUAUCAGGAGGAACACCGAUGGCGAAGGGCAGGUCUCUGGGCCACUACUGACGCUGGAGAAGCGAAAGCAUGGGGAGCGAACAGG